rnacentral:lncRNA from 1 species
AGGCCACCGGGCGCCGGUCUCCCACACGCUGCCGCACCUUCGGGUUCCAGCCUCACUGCCGGCGACAGCCAGGCUCCGCACGACCUUUUAAAGGUAGCUUUUCUGAGCUCAAGGGAAAGGCCCAAAUAUGGGAACCAGGGAAGAAGUAUUGAGAGAGCAAGCAUCAAUGGUCCUAUGGGAUAGGAAGUUGAAGAAACAGCAUUUGUUUAGAGUGUGACAGGUGAGAACUUGUAUUCGUGUACGUUUGUUCUAGUAUGAAUCCUUUCACAGGUGAGACGACACUUGUCCUCCUAAAACUCAAAGCAGGAAAAACACAAGAGGCCAGUUCCUGCUGGUGGACAUGCUGAGGGAGGACCUGAGAUGCUAAAGAAACAGCUCACACACAGGAGGAGGGAAGCCCAGGUAGAGGAUAUGGGUCCCUCGAACCUGUCAGCAGACAGAAUACACGGCUCCUUGUGUGCAGAGAAACAGCUCCAUCCGAGAACACCGCCUGGACCUCUGCCUACUCAUGUGAUGAAGGAACAACAGUAGCUAGCCUUGGCAACCCCUGCUUGUGCCACCUGCCUGCAGCCAGCUUCUCUUCCCCUAUUCCCCCCCUCCAAAAAAAAUAGCAGGUCACUCUGGCUAUCUUUGAUGGCCCUCUAUGGAAGCUAUCACUAUGACCUCAGCCUCCCCCUGGUUGGCAAGAGUAUCUUGCUACAACCAACCUUUUCAUGGACACAUGUUCAUAUCAUCUGUGGGCUGGUGAGUUGGCUCCGUGAGUACACACCUGCCAUCAAGUCUGUCAAGCUAAGUUCUAUCUCUCAGAUCAAGGUAAAAGAAGAGAACCAA